rnacentral:rRNA from 1 species
AGGACGAACGCUGGCGGCGUGCCUAAUACAUGCAAGUCGAACGAGACUUUCAUCGGUGGUAACACCUUUGUCUGUCUAGUGGCGAACGGGUGAGUAACACGUGAGAAACCUGCCCUGAAGACGGGGAUAACAGAAGGAAACUUCUGCUAAUACCCGAUACCCCCAUCGGAUCACAUGGUCUGAUGAGGAAAUGGAUUCCGCUUCAGGAGGGUCUCGCGGCCUAUCAGCUUGUUGGUGGGUAAUGGCCACAAGGCUUGGACGGGUAGCUGGUCUGAGAGGACGAUCAGCCACACUGGGACUGAGACACGGCACAGACUCCUACGGGAGCAGCAGUAAGGAAUAUUGCGCAAUGGGCAAAGCCUGACGCAGCAACGCCGCGUGCGGGAUGAAGGCCCUCGGUUGUAAACCGCUUUCAGUAGGAAGAAAAUGAACGGUACCUAACAGAAGAACGCCCCGGCCAACUACGUGACCAGCAGCCGC